UACGUAGGGUGCGAGCGUUAAUCGGAAUUACUGGGCGUAAAGCGUGCGCAGGCGGUAAGUUAAGUCUGAUGUGAAAGCCCCCGGGCUUAACCUGGGAACUGCGAUGGAAACUAGCGAGCUGGAGUGUGGCAGAGGGGGGUGGAAUUCCGCGUGUAGCAGUGAAAUGCGUAGAGAUGCGGAGGAACACCGAUGGCGAAGGCAGCCCCCUGGGCUAACACUGACGCUCAGGCACGAAAGCGUGGGGGAGCAAACAGG
rnacentral:rRNA from 1 species